CAGCUGGAGAGAAGUGCACGUGUCUUUGGCACAUGCAUGUAAGAUGUAUCUUACAAUGCUGCUGGCCGCGGAAAUUUCUGUGGGUAAAUAAGAUUUCUGUGUCAAGGGCUGUCCAUAUGGCCUCUUUCAUCAGCACUAAUUCCACUUAGAUUAACUGCACAGCACGAAUAUGGGUCAAAGCCUGGAUUGUUGGGAGAAUGAGUUCCUGCUUGCAAAUUGCUUCCCGCAGAAGUGCUUGUUGGCAGCUGAGAUCAUAAUGCUCACACUCCUCACAAUAACCCACUUUGAGAUGUAUUUAGAGAGGGGUCUUGGCAGUCUGCUUGCUGCUUUUUCAUACAGAGUGCAGGCCUUGGUUUGUAAUCCCCCUCAGCUCAUCAAGGCAAUAGCUGCUGGGCCGUCAUCUUCUGAUUUUAUCUAGCACAAGGCAAAGCAUCUUCAUUUGGACCAGCAAUACCAACCACUUUGGAACUAAACCUAGUGAGUUGUUCCUGUGAACACUGUGCUCUGAUUGCAAAGGAAAUCGAGAGCCAUGGGGAAGAAGAAAAGGAACAGAUCUCAUGGUGUCCCUGGCUCGCAUGAGUCCACGGUUCCACUGAAAGUUGCUUCUUGCUUUUCUUUCUCCUUUGUCUACUCUACUGGUGGCACAGGUCCUGCAUUGCAGUCAGUCAUUCCUAAAUCUGAUUGUCUUCUAUUAUGUCAGGAUGCCUUAUGGGGGAAUUAUAAAACUUACCCAUAAACAGCCUGCUUCAUAACGUGGAUCAAAGCUACCAUGUGAAUAAACUUCAUUUGUUGUUUGUCUGAA